rnacentral:lncRNA from 1 species
GGCUAUAACCCACCCGUUUUUGUGGCCUUUUUCCGCUGGACGAACAUGGCGCCCCAGCCUUCGGGCGGUUAUUUUUGGGCGCGGCAUUGCCCGCGGCCUAUUUUUGCCACCUGGAGGCCCGUCGCAAAGUCUCGCGGCAUUCCAAGUCCGGCGGACGAAGUUGGCCAGCCCCAGCCCCCAAGGCUAUAGCCCACCCGUUUUUGUGGCCUUUUUCCGCUGGACGAACUUGGCGCCCCGGCCUUCGGGCGGUUAUUUUUGGGCACGGCUUUGCCCGCGGCCUAUUUUUGGCACACGGAGGCCCCUCGCAAAGUCUCGCAGCAUUCCGAGUCCGGCGGACGAAGUGGGCCAGCCCCACCCCCCAAGGCUAAUGCCCACCCGUUUUUGUGGCCUUUUUCCGCUGGACGAACUUGGCGCCCCGGCCUUCGGGCGGUUAUUUUUGGGCGCGUCUUUGCCCGCGGCCUAUUUUUGGCAUACGGAGGCCCUUCACAAACUCUCGCGGCAUUCCGAGGCCGGCGGACGAAACUGGCCAGCCCCACCCCCCAAGGCUAUAGCCCACCCAUUUUUGUGGCCUUUUUCCGCUGGGCGAACUUGGCGCUCCGGCCUUCUGGCGGUUAUUUUUCGGCGCGGCUUUGCCCGCGGCCUAUUUUUGGAACACGGAGGCCCCUCGCAACGUCUCGCGGUAUUCCGAGUCCGGCGGACGAAGUUGGCCAGCCCCACCCCCCAAGGCUAUAGCCCGCCCGUUUUUGUGGCCUUUUUCCGCUGGACGAACUUGGCGCCCCGGCCUUCGGGCUGUUAUUUCUGGGCGAGGCUUUGCCCACGGCCUAUUUUUGCCACACGGAGGCCCCUCGCAAGGUCUCGCGGCAUUCCUAGUCCGGCGGACGAAGUCGGCCAGCCCCACCCCCCAAGGCUAAAGCCCACCCGUUUUUGUGGGCUUUUUCCGCUGGACGAACUUGG